CCUACGGGGGGCUGCAGUGGGGAAUAUUGGACAAUGGGGGCAACCCUGAUCCAGCCAUGCCGCGUGUGUGAAGAAGGCCCUCGGGUUGUAAAGCACUUUCAGUGAGGAAGAACGCCUGGUGGUUAAUACCCAUCAGGAAAGACAUCACUCACAGAAGAAGCACCGGCUAACUCCGUGCCAGCAGCCGCGGUAAUACGGAGGGUGCGAGCGUUAAUCGGAAUUACUGGGCGUAAAGCGCGCGUAGGUGGCUUGAUAAGCCGGUUGUGAAAGCCCCGGGCUCAACCUGGGAACGGCAUCCGGAACUGUCAAGCUAGAGUGAAGGAGAGGAAGGUAGAAUUCCCGGUGUAGCGGUGAAAUGCGUAGAGAUCGGGAGGAAUACCAGUGGCGCAGGCGGCCUUCUGGACUGACACUGACACUGAGGUGCGAAAGCGUGGGUAGCAAACAGGAUUAGAUACCCUUGUAGUC
rnacentral:rRNA from 1 species